rnacentral:rRNA from 1 species
UACGGAGGGAGCUAGCGUUGUUCGGAAUUACUGGGCGUAAAGCGCACGUAGGCGGCUUUGUAAGUUAGAGGUGAAAGCCCGGGGCUCAACUCCGGAACUGCCUUUAAGACUGCAUCGCUUGAAUCCGGGAGAGGUGAGUGGCAUUCCGAGUGUAGAGGUGAAAUUCGUAGAUAUUCGGAAGAACACCAGUGGCGAAGGCGGCUCACUGGACCGGCAUUGACGCUGAGGUGCGAAAGCGUGGGGAGCAAACAGG